rnacentral:rRNA from 1 species
CGGAGGUACUCGAGUGGCGAACGGGUGAGUAACACGUGGGUGAUCUGCCCUGCACUCUGGGAUAAGCCUGGGAAACUGGGUCUAAUACCGGAUAGGACCAUGCUUUAGUGUGUGUGGUGGAAAAUUUUUUCGGUGUAGGAUGAGCCCGCGGCCUAUCAGCUUGUUGGUGGGGUAAUGGCCUACCAAGGCGGCGACGGGUAGCCGGACUGAGAGGUUGGUCGGCCACAUUGGGACUGAGAUACGGCCCAG